AAAGAUUUUAAAUUAUUUUAAUUUGGUGUGUACUCUGUCGAUAAAAUUGUUUGACCAAACAGAAAUGUUUGAAAAUUUAAGACGAAAGUCGUAAAUAUUACAGCCUUUCAAAACAUGUUUAACCGGACAUGGCUACGGAUCGUUUUUUGUUAGCAAUGGUUUAUCGUUGCAUAUAGAACAUAAAAAUUGGACUACUUUGUGUAUCCUAACUUUCCAACUUCUCAUUUACAACAGUAGCACACCCGUCUCCAGUAUAACAUGUUUUUCAAUAAGGUUUUCGUAUUGGUUCGUAGUUAAAUCACGCGAUAUGCCGAUCUAGGUUUAAUCACGAGUAAACACUGUGACGUAAAAAGGUUAUAAUCAUGCCACUCUGCCGCCCGAACUUUAAUCUAGCCAAGCUAAAAUAAGUAUAAAUACGGCUUUGGGAUCUCUAUUCAGGCAUAACGCAUUUUUCUGUACGAUUUUAUUUGUUGGUGAGUACACAUACCUAUUAUAUAUUUACAAUACCGAGUACUUAUAUUUUAUUCUAUAAUGUACAUUAUUAUGUUUUUUUUAUCUUUAUGUUUGCAGUCUUCACUUCAGUUUCACGAAAACAAAACCAAAAAUCAAAAAUGGGCGCUGAAAAGGUAACCAUGAACAUCGUUGUCGUCGGACUUGUCCAAUCCGCCAAGGCCCCCAAGACCGUCGCCAAGGCCGCCCCAGCCACCAACCAAUUAAUGGUGAGUGUACACUGUUAAAAAACUACUACUAAUUAUUAGCAGUUAACCGCUUAUUAAAUUUAUAUAAGUCGUAAUUUAUUUUUCCAUAAAGCGAUACUAAUAUGAUUUUUACAUUAAAAAAAAAAAAAAUGACUUAUUGCAAAAAUACGAAUACAAUGAGUAUAAUGCACUUUAUAUUAGAGAAUAUAUCCUGGAUAUAUUAUUCGUUUACAAAUCGAGUACUGAGUAUUGGUGGAGAAAUAAUUUACAAAGGUACAUACCAGUACCGGCUAAUAGUUUUUAAUUUACGAUAAAAAAAAAAGUACUUAGGUAUAGCCACUAUGCGUAAUCAAUAAAAUAAAUAUAAAUCAAUUUCGCUAAGUAAAAAUUAAAUGUGAAUAACAAACAAUAUAAUUUUAACAUAAUAUUUAAUAUUAUUAUUAAUAUAAUAUAAUUAUUCUUUUGAUUUUUUAAAGAACGAAUUAGGUACGUUAUUAAAAUGAAAACGAAAUCCUUUUAAAUUCGUUUACUUUUUUCUUUUUAGUACAAUAAUUAAAAUCUGUUCUGCCUUCUCUCAAUUAAGUCUGCUUCUUUCCACUUUAUAAACUAAUCCGGUUUUGAGAUGAACCGAUACCCAGUGAAAAUAUACACACGAAUACUCGAUGCAGGAGCAGAUUUUUUUUUUUUUGUCAAUUACAGACACGUAUUUUUUAUUUCGUUAAUUUUAAUAUCGGUAUCAAAUAAUGGCCGAGUAAUAAUUUAAAUACAUACAGGGUAUUGGUCGAGUAUUGAAUAAUUAUUGGGUUAUUACUCGAUGGCCGAAUACUCUGAAUAUCAUCAGACAUGACUAAUUUAUAGUGAAUUUUGUCUUUAUUAAAAUAUUCUAAUACACUGCGUUUGAUUUUCCCCGAGUUCUCUAUUUGUCCAGUAUAAAAUUAUAAUAUUUUGAACGAGAGUAAUGUAUCAUACAUUUUCCAAUGAUUUAGUUUUUAAUUUGUAUUCACAUUACAUAUACCUACUCAAUAUUAAUCGUAUAAUUUGUGUUUUAAGAAUAUUGCAACCGCCUAAUCUAUACCUACUUACCUCAAACAGGUGUAUUUAUUUGUCGUUUUCUCUUGUUUGUUUCAGUCCUGUUAAACUCACGUAGUCCAAACAUCGCAACCUCAAAAAUGCCAUAGUCCAAAACAAUACAAAUUACAUAAAUUAUUAUCAAUUAAUAUUAUGUAUAUUAUGUGUUGACAUCUCAAAAUAAACCACAUCUUAUCCGUCAU
rnacentral:lncRNA from 1 species